UGUAUGUUGAUUUGCUGGAAUUAAUGUUUGUAAGUCAUUUAUCUAAAUAAAAAAAAUAAAAAAAAUAAUUAUAAAGUUCAUUGUCGUUAUUUCAUUCAUGCUUCAGACACCGGUCACGCUGACAGUGUUCCCAUAGCGCCCUCUAGAGGAUGCAGCGUCUCUUUCCCUAUUCUCAGGGAAUACCUUUUAAAUAAACAGGGAUUUUUGACUUUCUGCACAAUAUUUUUUUUACUUUUGGUGAGAUUUGAGUACCAUGUAACUACCUUGUUUUCUUUUUCUUUUUUAUCAGAUGCCUGACUUUUGUUUUGCUGCUUGUCUUGCCUGGUGAGAAUGUGCAACAAAUAAUAAUUAUUUGUAAAAAUAAGGAUUGGUGACAUUAAUAAUAUUAAUAAAUACUACAUUAGCAUCAAUAUUGUGUUGUGAUUUGAACACUGUUUUUAUUUGUAGGUGCUACUUCUAUAACUGUGUUGGGACGAAAGGGUGGCAGUAUUAUCCUGAUGUGUAGUUUGGCAAACAGAGAGGAUUUAACUGCUGUUCUGAAAUUUGGGUCCAAAAUUGCUUAUGGUUUUAGUCAGGAUUUGCAUUUCAGUGGUCGUGUGCACAAGAGUGGGAGUUGUGACCUCUAUCUGCAUGACCAUUGAUGCUGGAAGAUAUGUUUUAGAAGUGUUUGCCAAUGGUAAACUACUUGACAGCUUCACUCACGACGUCCAUGUUGUAGUUCAUUUAACAGCACAGAAAGGCAAAGCACUGAUGUUUGAUGAACUGCUGCAUGAGGCUGAGAGGGUUGAGCAUUUCACAAAGUCUGGGCGGAAACAGGUGUGGAGUAGAGAACGGGGCGUCCUGACUGAUCGACUCACCGAAAAGAAUGGCCGUCCUGACCAUUGAAACUUUAAAUCUAGUGAUGAAGGAACUUACACAGCUCAAACCUCGACAAGAGAAAUCCUCGUCACCAUGACGGUCACAGGUGAAAGAUAUUUGAUCGAAGUGUAGAAAUAUUAAAGUGCCCCUAUUAUGGAUUUUUUUUCUAUUACCUUUCAUGCAACACAGCUCUAAGUAAAUGAAAACAUCCUUCAAAGUUUGAAAUCUGAAAGUGCACCGUGUAUAAAGUUAUUGUCUUGAGUUGAUUCUGAAUCAUUGAAACGAGUUGUUUUUAAAACAAAUCCCAAGCCGUUUCAUGUUUCAUUAGCAUAUUCCUCCACCCAUUCCUCUUUUCACAUUGGUCUGAAUCAAAAUACAAAUUCAUUCUUUGUCACUAGGGGGCGCUCUUGGAGCGGUAAAAAUCGCAGUUUUUAACACUGCUUGAUCAGGCAUUACAGGCAUGUAAUUUUAAUUAUAAAAGUGGACAGAUGAGAUUUAAUCAUCAUGAUUUGAAUCGCAAAUUAAUAUUAAACGGUGUCACUGACCUUUCAACAUUCUCUACAGAAUCUAUAGUGGUUUGCUCAUACUGGUUGUUUUUGACUCUAGAUGUGACCCUGGAGCACAAUCGCGGGGUAUGUUUACACAUUUUUGAACAAUUCAAUUUUUUUAUGUUUUUGUAAUUAACUACACAUUCUGCACAAUUAUAUGUUUAAGAAGUGUAGUUAGUAUGCUGCACUUUAAGAAAAAUCUGUAAAAUAGGCCACAAUGUACAACUUAAGGGAUAAUGUCCUGGCAGAAGUUUACCAGUUUACUUAGAUUUUAAAACUGAUAAAAAAAUACAGUAAUAAAUACAAAGUAAUUAUCAUAAAUGAACAAUUAUUAUUGCACAGUUGCAUCUAGCAACGUCGUGAUGUGUGUACUGCUAGAUGCCUUUAAUUUCUUCUUUUUGUGUAAUUUAGACGUGAUUUUUAAAUGUAAAAAAUGGCUUCAUUUGUGGCUAAGUGCUAUCUGAAAGAAAAAGAUGCUAAAUCUAGCAACAGAUACCACAAUAAUGUUUAUUUAUAAUUUUGUUGAUCUCUCUAAUUUAUGUGUAUUCUGUAGAUUUGAGGAAGAGACCUUUCUUCAUUUAUUCUUCCAUUGCAAUCAGGUUAAAUCUCUUUCUAUCUGCUAUAAUAAAAAGUGAUCUAAGUCAUUUGUUGAAAGAUAUAUUUCUUUACUUUCAAUUAUUAAUAAUUUUCUCAUGUGGACUGACUAUAUGUAAACGUAUUUUAUAUGAAAUAUCAUAUUGAGGUCAGUACUAAAUUAACAAUAACAUGCAUUUUGUAUGAUUCCUCUUUUUUUGUUAAUUAACAUUUUGCAGGUUCUGCAAAGGGGAUGUAAACUUUUGACUGAUGUACAGAAUGAUAUAUUAUUCAGUAUAUUAUUACGAGUAUUAAAUGGAAAUAUUGUCUGAUUUAAUUCAUUUAACAAAAAUUAAAAAUAAUGAAAUAUGUCAAAGCGCAUUACUGCAGCCUCUGUGUUGAGGUAAUGUUUUUUUUUUUUUUCCCGGAAGCAAGCACUGUUUGAAAAUAAAAUUCAGUGUCAAAGUUCAUUAUAAAAUAUGUUAUAAUUUCCCCAUCAUAUUAUGUUGCACAUAUGGUUUUAUGCAGUAAAUCAAGUGUGCAGCAACACUUGUACUAAUAUAGAGUCUAUUCUUCAAUGUUUUUUACUGCUCUGAAAUGAAAGAGGAAGACUUCGCGUUUCAGUGUAUCUCUGCUCUGUGACGCACGCGCCUGCUGCGGUUCUUCUUCUUCUUCUUCGUCUUCUUCUUCUUUGGUGUUUGUUCACUGACUGGUGCAUCACCGACUGGAAUACGUUUAUGAAUCAGGAUUUUGCUUUUUGGGCAAAAAUAAACCCUAAAAACCAAUGAAAGCAUAAACAAACUAGAAAUGAAAACAAACCGAAUAAAAAAAAUCAAAAAGACUAACGUUAUAUUAUUUUAUAUAAGUCGAUAUAGAAGUUUUCUUCUUUAGAUUUGAUUGGUGGCUGAUUUUAAAGGCGCAUUAUCGCCACACACCAGACUGAAGUGAUAAACAAGGAAAUUAAUUAUAUUAUGUCCAUCAAUCCUGUAUUUUUUCGGUAAAAAUGAUUGUGCCAACACAACUUUUACCUUAAUAUUAUAAAGAUGUCGACCCGUGUCGUUUAUAUCUCAGUGCUGUUGCCAUUUAUCAGACAUUCAAGACAUUAUAAUACUAUUCCCCUCAGUUCUACUAAAUAGGACAUUUAAAUCCACAGUUUGUAGUUUCAAUAUCAAUAUAUCCAUCGUAUCAUCAGUUUCAUUUUCCUUGUCUCCAUGAACACGAAUCCAAACAAACAGAGCCUGCUGAGUUUCACAUCAGUCACGUGACGCUGUCGUGGAAACAGGUGUUUCCUUCAAAAUAAAAGUCAGAGUGUUUCAUAAGUUAAUCAUUACAUUAAUUUGUGGAUUAUUAAAUAAAUAAGUAUCAUACAAUAUUACGUUAAUCUUCUCAGAGCUCAGUCUGCUUUGAAUAAACUUCCAAUAGAGGACUAAAAUGAUCAAAUACUCCCAGACUCUCAACACACUCCCCUUUGUGUCUGUGUGUGUUUUUAGUUUUGUUUCUACUUAAAUGUGUACUUACUCUCACUAUAUAUGCUGUGGCCUUACGACAGUUGUCACAUGAAGACAAGACACACGACCAUGUAAGUGUUCAUGCUUCUUAAUAGGCUAUAAACAUCUUAGUAUAAAUAUAAAGCUUAAAUAUAAAGUUGUUUUGGGGUUCUAUACCAAUUUUGUUUCUUUGGAAACUUGUUUAGAUGUAGUCUUUGUGUAGAUUUGAUGCUUAAUUUAUUUAUUAUUGCAAUUAUGAUGGUGUUUAUUAGUGCACUGUAAAAUAUAUUGUUGGUUUAUGUUAAAGUGGGUCAUCUUGUUGUCUUAAAGUUAACACACAGAAAAAGACCGGUUUGAUCAACAGAAGCUCCCCAUUUGACAAAAAGUAAAAAGCUGGGAUGAAUCAUAAAAGGUAAUUUCUGGGAGUUUUAAAAAUUAUUUUCAUGUGGUUAUUAAAUAAUAAUUUGCUUUAAAGGAUCAUUUUAAUCCUUGUUGGUCUAUUUAAAAAAAAAUAUAUAUAUUUCCACAGAGAUGAAUAGAUUGAUUUGAACUGAAUUGUAUCCUGAUGAGAAAAAUGAAUCUUAAUUCACUGUGAACACACUGAUUUAAUUCGAUGUCUUCUAUGAUUUGUUGAUGGGUCUUUAGUCAAACUAGUUUACGUGACGUUUGAGUGUUAUGUUGGAUAUGUAAAAGAGUUUAUAGAAGUUAUUAUGCUGAAGAGAACAUAUGUUGACAAUGUAAACGUUGUAGCAGUCCUAGAAUUAAUUUAUUUUCUUCUUAUUUAUUAAUUAUUUUACAUUUACAUUUAAUCAUUUAUCCUCUUCAUUCAAUAUCAAUAGCCAGGCUAUAUCCAGCACAGCAGUUGUUCAUGUUAAACGUAACUCUUUUAGCAUGCAAAUAUAACAAACAAGUCACAAUGACGUGAUUAGUGCUCAAUGAAUCCACCCACAAUGUAAUCUCAAGCUCCUGUAAGCACGAACACGUCAGCGUAACACAGUCUUUUAGAUGGAAACAACUAUCAUACAGGAUCAACAUGUGUCAAACAUUCAGAUAAAGUGAAAGAUAUUAGUCUCAUGAAAGUAUUAACCUGUAUCUGUCAAAUGAAGCAGCUCUUGUGUUCUCCACAGGUUCAACGGCUUCUGUUUUCUGCUCCUUUGGAGCCUUUACAAAAACUGCGGUCAGUAUACAACCAUUUUUGUUUGCAUAUUUUGUUUCCAUUCUUGGUAUUCAGUGUCAGAGUUAUUUCUCAGUUUCGUCACUCAGUCUUUGUUUGACAUUCUUUAGCAAAUUGUCAUCACACACUCUUUAUUCAUUCAGGAACUGAACUUGUACAUCUUCUACAGCUUUAUUCUACUGUCAUCAACAUCUGUAAUGUCAAAACAGGCCACUACUGAUAUCAUUGGCUCCCGAAUGCCUUUAUUUGUAUAUAUAUUUUAAUCCAGUUGACUAAAAUACCUCUGUUAGAACAUUUUCUGAUGACAAUUACAGAGAAUAGAGAGAAAGACCACAUGUUCUCUUCAGCACUGAAUGCAUAUUAUACUGUUUUUUCGCAGAAACCUCCCCUACACUUAAAGUGGGGAUAAAAGGAGGCAACGUCACCCUGCCAUGUCAGUAUG
ensembl:lncRNA